AGAGCGAACGCUGGCGGCAGGCUUAACACAUGCAAGUCGAGCGGGCGUAGCAAUACGUCAGCGGCAGACGGGUGAGUAACGCGUGGGAACGUACCUUUUGGUUCGGAACAACUGAGGGAAACUUCAGCUAAUACCGAAUAAGCCCUUACGGGGAAAGAUUUAUCGCCGAAAGAUCGGCCCGCGUCUGAUUAGCUUGUUGGUGAGGUAAUGGCUCACCAAGGCGACGAUCAGUAGCUGGUCUGAGAGGAUGAUCAGCCACAUUGGGACUGAGACACGGCCCAAACUCCUACGGGAGGCAGCAGUGGGGAAUAUUGGACAAUGGGCGCAAGCCUGAUCCAGCCAUGCCGCGUGAGUGAUGAAGGCCCUAGGGUUGUAAAGCUCUUUGUGCGGGAAGAUAAUGACGGUACCGCAAGAAUAACGCCCGGCUAACUUCGCGCCAGCAGCCGC
rnacentral:rRNA from 1 species